GAAAUGCGAUAAGUAGUGUGAAUUGCAGAAUUCAGUGAAUCAUCGAAUCUUUGAACGCACAUUGCGCCCCUUGGUAUUCCAUGGGGCAUGCCUGUUCGAGCAUCAUUUGUACCCUCAAGCUCUGCUUGGUGUUGGGUGUUUGUCCCGUCUCCGCGCGUGGACUCGCCCCAAAGUGAUUGGCAGCCGGCGUACUGGUCCCGGAGCGCAGCACAUGUCGCGCAAACGAGUGCCUUGGUACGGCGGCGUCCAUAAGCCCCUCUCUCACGCUCUUGACCUCGGAUCAGGUAGGGAUACCCGCUGAACUUAAGC
rnacentral:misc_RNA from 1 species